CCCGCGUAAUUUAAGCAUAUUAAUAAGCGGAGGAAAAGAAACUAACAAGGAUUCCCUUAGUAGCUGCGAGCGAACAGGGAAUAAGUUCAGCAUAAAAUCUUGUAACUGAAAAAGUUACCAAGAGAUGUUAUGUUUAGGGAGUUUCGUUUAUCCUAUAAUGGACAUUUAGUCCAAGUCCACCUUGAAUGGGGCAUAUCCCGUAGAGGGUGCCAGUCCCGUGGUGACAAGUGUAUUAAAUCAUUAUAGGUGAAACUUCCCUUAGAGUCGGGUUGCUUGUAAAUGCAGCUCUAAGUGGGUGGUAAACUCCAUCUAAAACUAAAUAUAACCACGAGACCGAUAGCGAACAAGUACCAUGAGGGAAAGUUGAAAAGAACUUUGAAGAGAGAGUUCAAGAGUACGUGAAACCGUUCAGGGGUAAACGGGAGAAAUCCGAAUAUCUGAAGGAAGUGAUUCACGUAAAAUCUACAUUGUACUUUAUUUGUAAAUUGAUGGCACUUUAAACUCCUUAAAUUGAACUUUGUUUAAUAUUAAGGAUCAAGUUUAAUGUCACAAUUUUCAUGAUAAACUUGUUUAUAAUGUAGUUUACCGCAUUUCUACCUUCCUUAUUAUAAAGAAAACGUCGCGACCC
rnacentral:rRNA from 1 species